rnacentral:rRNA from 1 species
GAUGAACGCUGGCGGCGUGCUUAAUACAUGCAAGUCGAGCGAACAGACGCUGAGUUUGCUCUUCUCGCGUUAGCGACGGACGGGUGAGUAACACGUGGACAACCUACCUAUAAGACUUGGACCACUUCGGGAAACCGGAGUUACUGACGGAUAAUAUAUUUAACCGGAUGGUUCGAUAGUGAAUGAGGGUUUUGAUGUCCCUUAUACCUGGAUCCGCGCCGCUUGAGCGAGUUGGUAAGGUAACGGCUUACCAAGGCGACGAUGAGUAGCCGACCUGCGAGGGUGAUCGGCCACACUGGAACUGAGACACGGUCCAGACUCCUACGGGAGGCAGCAGUAGGGAAUCUUCCGCAAUGGGCGAAAGCCUGACGGAGCAACGCCGCGUGAGUGAUGAAGGUCUUCGGAUCGUAAAACUCUGUUAUUAGGGAAGAACAAAUGUGUAAGUAACUAUGCACGUCUUGACGGUACCUAAUCAGAAAGCCACGGCUAACUACGUG